rnacentral:rRNA from 1 species
CAGGCUUAACACAUGCAAGUCGAACGGGAUUCGGGGUGUUUUUGCACCUUUGAUGAGAGUGGCGCACGGGUGAGUAACACGUGGGAACGUAUCAUGUAGUGGGGGAUAACUGAUGGAAACGUCAGCUAAUACCGCAUAUACCUUGAGGGGGAAAGAUUUAUUGCUACAUGCACGGCCCGCGGUAGAUUAGGUAGUUGGUGGGGUAACGGCUUACCAAGCCUACGAUCUAUAGCUGGUCUGAGAGGAUGAUCAGCCACACUGGAACUGAGAUACGGUCCAGACUCCUACGGGAGGCAGCAGUGAGGAAUAUUGGGCAAUGGAGGCAACUCUGACCCAGCCAUGCCAUGUGAGUGAAGAAGGUCUUCGGAUUGUAAAGCUCUUUCGGAUGUGAAGAUGAUGACGGUAGCAUUUAAAGAAGCCCCGGCAAACUUCGUGCCAGCAGCCGCGGUAAUACGAAGGGGGCGAGCGUUGUUCGGAAUUACUGGGCGUAAAGGGAGUGUAGGCGGAAAGAUAAGAUAGGGGUGAAAUCCCGGGGCUCAACCUCGGAAUUGCCUUUAUAACUAUUUUUCUUGAGUUAUAGAGAGGAUAGCGGAAUACCCAGUGUAGAGGUGAAAUUCGUAGAUAUUGGGUAGAACACCGGUGGCGAAGGCGGCUAUCUGGCUAUAAACUGACGCUGAUGCUCGAAAGCAUGGGGAUCAAACAGGAUUAGAUACCCUGGUAGUCCAUGCUGUAAACGAUGAAUGCUAGUUGUCGGGGGGAGACCUUCGGUGCCGGAGCAAACGCAAUAAGUAUUCCGCCUGGGGAGUACGGCCGCAAGGUUGAAACUCAAAUGAAUUGACGGG